rnacentral:rRNA from 1 species
AUACGGAGGGCGCAAGCGUUGCCCGGAAUCACUGGGUGUAAAGGGUGCGUAGGCGGGGCUGUAAGUCAGAGGUGAAAGCCCUCGGCUCAACCGGGGGAUUGCCUCUGAUACUGCAGCUCUUGAGUCCCGGAGAGGCCGCUGGAAUUCCUGGUGUAGCGGUGAAAUGCGUAGAUAUCAGGAGGAACACCGGAGGCGAAGGCGGGCGGCUGGACGGGGACUGACGCUGAGGCACGAAAGCGUGGGGAGCAAACAGGAUUAGAUACCCUAGUAGUCC